GUGACAUUUGCAGUGAGUGACAUUUCCAGUCCUUUCCUUAAAUUUUUUUUUUUUUGGUACCGGAGAUUGAAUUUUUUUUUUUUUUUUUUUUUGAGACAAGGUGUUGUAAAUUGCACAAUCUUGGAUUCAAGUUGUGAUCCUCCUGCCCCAGCCUCCCAGAAUGCUGGGAUUACUGGUCUAAAAGUUUUUUGUUUUGUUUUGUUUUUUUCAUUUUUUGAGACAGGGUCUUGAUUAUGUAGCUCAGGCUGGCCUUGAACUCACUAUGUAUUUUUUGUUUGUUUGUUUGUUUGUUUGUUUUGUUUUGUUUUUUGGUAUCGGGAUCGAACUCGGGUCCUUGCACUUGCACAGCAGGCGGCGAAACCACUGAGCUAAAUCCCCGGCCCUGAACUCACUAUGUAACCCAGGCUGGCCUCGAACCUGCAGCAGUCCUCCUGCCUCAGCCUCCUGAAUGCUGGGAUCCCAGGCAUGCACCACCUAAAGAUUAGGGGAGAAGCCUUUCAACUGCAGCUGGGACGGCUGCGACAAGAAGUUCGCCGCGCUCUGAAUGAACUGUCGCGUCACCGCCGCACGCACACAGGGGAGAAGAAGUUCGCGUGCCCCGUGUGCGAGGGCGCUUCAUGCGCAGCGACCACCUGACGAAGCACGCACGGCGCCACAUGAGUGCCAAGAAGGUCCCGGGCUGGCAGGCAGAGGUGGGCAAGCUGCAUGAGAGCGCAGCGGCCGAGAGCCCGGCCCGACCGGCCCCACUCAUGCCUGCGCCUGGGCCCGCCUCGCCCUGACCCUGCCCUGAGCCCGCGGGCCGGCGGCAAGGAAGCCGGGCUCCUCCUGGACCGCGCUGGGGAGGGCUGUUCACUGCUUUCUGUUUGAGACCCUGUUCUAUCUUUUGCAGUUUCACAGGUUUCUUUUUGUUUAAGGGAAUGGAAAAAUUGAUAAGCUAAAUCACCAGCAUUCAAACAACCAUUUUGGCAGUAAAGUUUACAAAAUCUGGAUUUUUACAACCUUUCUACUCAUGUUUUGUAGAAAUAAGACAGGGUACUACUUUUAUACUGUUUUUUAUAAAAAUAUUUAUAUUGGUGCUCCAAUCACCAGUUUCUAGAUCAUAUUCAGCCUUUUCAGUGUUUAAUAACAGUUUUAUAACGACCCUGCUUUUAGUAAGCGUGGUACACAAUUUAGAAAGAAAUCCCGUGUGUUACCAGGCCUCUUGGAGCUAAGACUUGUUUGGAAUCAGAACUGGUUGAAGGAGGGCCUCCUGAAGAGAAGGGGAGAGCGGCGUGGCAUGGCGUGCCGUGGCGUGCCAUGGCGUGGCCGCUUGCUUUGCGGAGUCUUCGCUUGCUUCGCGGAGUCGUUCCCAGGGAGCUCCAGGCCCUGUGGCCUGUGAGUGUCGGGGUGCCCGUGUCCUUCAGCCAUGGAGGAGCAGUUUGCCCACGCACCGAAGGAGGCCGCACUCCUCGUGUGGAGGCGGUGGGCUGUAGAGCUCAGCUCUGGGAACCACGGCAUCCGGGAGUCGGGUUCCCACGAGGAUUCCUUCACUAGGUGUGAGACUACGGAGCUUGUGGUCUGCUCUUUUGGUCGCCUCCUGUUUGAAGGGAGGUGUCUUGAGCAGAGAGGCAGUGUCCUGUGGGUGGGGCUUCUUGCAUCAUUGGGAAGGCAGGCAGGGGUAGGCGAGCCCAUCCCUUGGAGUCCAGGCAGCACUGCAGCAGAAGAUGGGAACAUUGCACUGUUUUGGUAGCUGGAGAAUCUUUUAUGUGCACUAUGUAUCUAGAUGCUGCCUUUGCCUUUCAGUUUUGGCACUGAGUCUUUGUUCUAAUGAGGGCAGGUGAACUAUUGGGUAAUUAACUAAAGGUAGGUUUUGUCUUCAGGUCUUUGUAGUCUAUGACCCUCGCCCUCAUUCAGUGUAUGUUACUUGAUGCCCGCUAAGCUGCCCUUUCAUAUCAGCUGCUUUUCAUCCGUGUGUGUGUGUGUGUGUGUGUGUGUGUGUGUGUGUGUGUGUUUUAGGUUUCCAGGUUUCCAGACCCAGGGCAGUUCUGCAGUCGAAUGUUCCUAGACCUUCAGAAGACUGUCCUUUGCAGAGCGUCCUCCCUGCCCCUCAUUUCAGUUCGGUGUGGACACUGGCUGCCCAGUGUCACCCCGGCUCAGAUGUGGGUGGCUUUGUAUCACUCCACGCUGAGUGCUGCUCCAGCCGUGGCGUUGCGGUGGGAGACAGUGGCCGGAGGGCUCCGCUUUGCAUUGGCUUCUCUCCACAGUGUGGUUUCUAAAGAAUAAAUGGGCCUGAAAUUGUUAGAAUUUAGCUUCCACUUCCUGAUUGUUGGAGGGACACUUUCUACAAGACCUCCUCUUGCCUGUUGAAAGAUUGUAGGUUAGAGAACAGUUCCCAUCUGAACUCUGGAGAAGACCCAGACCCUGCUGGCCACUUCUGCCAGUCCACACUCCCCUGGGUGGGGUGUGGGGCCACGCCCAGGCAGGGUCCCAUGCACUUUAUCCGAGCAGGUUUGCUUGAUUUUUAUUUUUUCUUUCUUUUUUGGUACCGGGGUUGAACUUUGGGACCUUGCGCUUGAUAGGCAGGCGGCAGAACCACUGAGCUAAAUCCCCGGUUGCUUGAUCUUUUUGACUUGGAGCCUUUAAAGUAAUUUCAGUCAUAAAUUUAAAAUGUUUCAUAAUUAUGUAUUAUGUAACAGACUGCGCCUUAUUAUUUAAAUGAGUAUGUGUAAUGUAACUUUUUUCUUUAAAUCAUGUAAAACUUUCUUGAUUCGCAAAAUGGACUUGUGUCCUGUCAUUUCACCCUCCAGUCGGUGACUCCAGCC
ensembl:lncRNA